rnacentral:tRNA from 1 species
GGGCAAUUAGCUCAGUUGGAUAGAGUGCCAGCCUCCGGAGCUGGAAGCCACAAGUUCGAAUCUUGUAUUGCCCA